AUGAGCUCGCCACCGUUGCCUCCGAGCGCCUACGGUUUCUUCCCUUAUUCAUCGGCUCCUCCGGGUCCGUUUCUAUAUCCGCCGUAUAACUUCUACUCGUGUGGCUCUCUCCCUCCCCUGCCGUUCAACCACCCCGGUCUCCCACCCCGCCCGCCGGCGACCAGGGCCAAACACGCCACGUUCCCAUACCAGCCGUCGACUCUGCCUCCUCGUCCGGCCGCCGUCACAAAGGUCAAACAGACCACGGCGACCGGGAUGACGGUGUCGGCGCCGAGGAAGAUGCUGGAGGGCAAGAGCAAGAAGCCGAGGACACCGAGGUCCGCAGAGGAGCCUCCGAGGGCGCAGCGGAGGAAGCCUCUGCAGAGGGCGGCGCCGCUGCCGGCGACGUCGGCGGUCACGGAGGCGCUGGACGACCUGGAGCGCGAGGUGACACGGGGCUUCGUGGAGGACCUGCUGCACGCGCUCGCACCGCCGCCCAGCAGCCUGCCUCUGCCCACUUUCUCCCUCGUCAGGGCGGCCGCCACCAAGGUCCCAGCGCCAUGCACGGGGUAG
rnacentral:rRNA from 1 species